GGAAUGCGGGCGACUUUUGCCCGACAAACCGUGCCGAAGGUGCGCGGACCUGGUGAUUUGGUAGCAUGGUAUACAUUAACUCAAGCUACUCUGUUUAGAGGCUGGCCUUGCCGUCGGCAUGAUCUUGGUGGGAUCACAUGCGAAUGCCUCACCCUGGCCACCACCACUGUUGGCAACCAUAAGAUUAUCAGCGAACAGCAGCAGCACCACGACAGAAAGAGACUUUGACAGGGGCGCGAUUUUGGCAGAG